CUUAAACCAGUGACACCGUAAAACCAGUGCUCAUUUGAAUAAGCAAGUACGCACAGGGGAAGCUUCGUGGAGAUCCUGGGGGACUCUGACUUGCCAUCCUCGAGUCUUAUGGCCGUUGACAGCUCCACACUUGACAGGCAGCCCAGACGAGCUGCCACUGCACAUGGAGCCCCUCCCAAGAAGACGGGUCCUGCUGGGGUUUAAUCUCAGCGUGGCGGCCCAUUCUCCUGACAGGCUUUAAUUCUCUCUGGGCUCCAUUCAUCAUACACUGUCUGUCAUGCGCCUUUAAUCAAAUGUACCGCGGGAUACUCACAUCUCGGCCAAACCGCCCAGGCCCACUUUACACCAUCACAUAUAUUCACGGUUCUUUUAUUCAUGAGUUUGUUUGCCUUUCAUGUUAUGUUGUUC
ensembl:lncRNA